GGGGAUGUAGCUCAGCGGUAGAGUGCUCAACUGGUAUAGGAGAGGCCCUGGGUUUGAUCCUCAACACCACA
rnacentral:tRNA from 1 species